rnacentral:rRNA from 1 species
GAUGAACGCUGGCGGCGUGCCUAAUACAUGCAAGUCGAGCGAACAGACGAGGAGCUUGCUCCUCUGACGUUAGCGGCGGACGGGUGAGUAACACGUGGGUAACCUACCUAUAAGACUGGGAUAACUGCGGGAAACGGGAGCUAAUACCGGAUAAUAUAUUGAACCGCAUGGGGCAAUAGUGAAAGGCGGUUUUUCUGUUACGUAUGGACUGAUGGGCUCCACGUUAGCUAGUGGGGAAGGUAACGGCUUACCAAGGCUAUGAUGCUUAGCCGACCUGAAAGGGUGAUCUGCCACACGGGCAGUGAGACAGGGCCGAGACUCCUACGGGAGGCCGCAGUAGGGACUCUUACGCAAUGGGGGAGAGCCUGACGGAGCAACGCCGCGUAAGUGAUGAAGGUCUUCGGACCGUAAAACUCUGUUAUUAGGGAAAAACAAAUGUGUAAGUAACUAUGCACGUCUUGACGGUACCUAAUCAGAAAGCCACGGCUAACUACGUG